CCUACGGGAGGCAGCAGUAAGGAAUAUUGGUCAAUGGGCGCAAGCCUGAACCAGCCAUGCCGCGUGCAGGAAGACGGCCCUAUGGGUUGUAAACUGCUUUUCCAGGGGGUGAAACUCCCGUACGUGUACGGGACUGACGGUACCUUGGGAAUAAGCAUCGGCUAACUCCGUGCCAGCAGGCGCGGUAAU
rnacentral:rRNA from 1 species